GGUAACGUGGCCGAGCGGUCUAAGGCGCUGGUUUAAGGCACCAGUCUCCUCAAAGGCGUGGGUUCGAAUCCCACCGCUGCCA
rnacentral:tRNA from 1 species